AGGGAAAGGCGAAAAGAACCCCGGCGAGGGGAGUGAAAAAGAACCUGAAACCGUGUACGUACAAGCAGUGGGAGCACCUUCGGGUGUGACUGCGUACCUUUUGUAUAAUGGGUCAGCGACUUAUAUUCUGUAGCAAGGUUAACCGUAUAGGGGAGCCGCAGGGAAACCGAGUCUUAACUGGGCGUUAAGUUGCAGGGUAUAGACCCGAAACCCGGUGAUCUAGCCAUGGGCAGGUUGAAGGUUGGGUAACACUAACUGGAGGACCGAACCGACUAAUGUUGAAAAAUUAGCGGAUGACUUGUGGCUGGGGGUGAAAGGCCAAUCAAACCGGGAGAUAGCUGGUUCUCCCCGAAAGCUAUUUAGGUAGCGCCUCGUGAACUCAUCUUCGGGGGUAGAGCACUGUUUCGGCUAGGGGGUCAUCCCGACUUACCAACCCGAUGCAAACUACGAAUACCGAAGAAUGUUAUCACGGGAGACACACGGCGGGUGCUAACGUCCGUCGUGAAGAGGGAAACAACCCAGACCGCCAGCUAAGGUCCCAAAGUCAUGGUUAAGUGGGAAACGAUGUGGGAAGGCACAGACAGCCAGGAUGUUGGCUUAGAAGCAGCCAUCAUUUAAAGAAAGCGUAAUAGCUCACUGGUCGAGUCGGCCUGCGCGGAAGAUGUAACGGGGCUAAACCAUGCA
rnacentral:rRNA from 1 species